GGAUCAGGUAGGGAUACCCGCUGAACUUAAGCAUAUCAAANCGCGAAGGAANAUCAUUUACCUAGAGUUUGUGGGCUUUGCCCGCUACUCUUACCAUGUCUUUUGAGUACUUACGUUUCCUCGGCGGGUUGCCGCCGACUGGACAAAAUUAAACCUUUGUAAUUGAAAUCAGCGUCUGAAAAACAUAAUAGUUACAACUUUCACAACGGAUCUCUUGGUUCUGGCAUGAUGAAGAACGCAGCGAAAUGCGAUAAGUAGUGUGAAUUGCAGAAUUCAGGUGAAAUCAUCAAAUCUUUUGAAAGCAUUGCCUUGGUAUUUCAUGGGGCAUGCUGUUUCAGCGUCAUUUGUACUUCAGCUAUGCUGGGUGUUGGGUGUUUGUCUCGCCUUUGCGUGAUAGACUGCCUAAAACAUUGGCNNGGCUNCUUGAUUCGGAGGCGCANNANNNUGUCGUUUGUNNCNNUANACGACAACUCAAAAUACUUUUUU
rnacentral:rRNA from 1 species